rnacentral:rRNA from 1 species
UACAUGGGGUGCAAACGUUGCUCGGAAUUAUUGGGCGUAAAGCGCACGUAGGCGGUCCGUUAAGUCGGAUGUGAAAGCCCCCGGCUCAACCGGGGAAGUGCAUCCGAAACUGGCGGGCUAGAGUACGAAAGAGGGUCGCGGAAUUCCCGGUGUAGAGGUGAAAUUCGUAGAUAUCGGGAGGAACACCGGUGGCGAAGGCGGCGACCUGGGGCGAUACUGACGCUGAGGUGCGAAAGCGUGGGGAGCAAACAGG